GUGAAUCGCAGAGGAGAAAUCAUGAAUCUUUAUAGCCUUGUAUUAACAUGACUUCCUUUUGUUGAUAGAGUGAUUUAUUAGUCUCAAGACCUUUGAAAUGGCACAAGAAUUGCUUGAACAGAUUGUGGAGACAUCCACCCUUCUUUGGAGAUUUAAUCUUGCUUAUGCUGUUAAGCCCUAGCAGUUCUUUAACAUGGAAGGGGAUAUGACAUAUAAUUUCCACCUUUGAGAAUGGAGCUUGCAGGACUGGACAUUGCUCUCAGUGUCAGUGAGUGAGUGGAUCUUCAGGGGCAAUAACACUCGUGGAGCUGUCAUUUCCUAUAAUAUCAAUGCCUUCUGUAAUACCUCUUGAUGGACCUGCCUGAGACUAUUUACAGUUAACUUUUUUUUGGAGGUAG